rnacentral:rRNA from 1 species
CCCUACGGGGUGCACCAGGCAGCUCCUGCCUUUGGAGCCAUUGCGGGAGGAGUUGUCUGGUAUGUGCUGCAUAUCUGGAAUAUCCUCUAGAGCCUCAAAAGCACCCGGUCAAUAAGUCAGGCCGAGAAUCUGGAUCAUAGGAGCACAUGAAAAAAUGAAGAUCUUCGGAAUCUUUGGCGAUCCAAUCGAGCACAGCCUCUCUCCAGCCAUGCAGAAUGCCGCCUUUCGGGCCCUGGGCAUGGAUGGAUGCUAUCAUGCCUUUCGCGUCAGCCGGUCCAGGCUUAAAGAUGCAGUCAUUGGAGCAGAUGCUAUGGGAUUUGGCGGACUGAAUUUGACCAUUCCUCUCAAGGAGGAGGCUUUGAGCCUGGAUUUUCUGGAGGCAGAUGAUCUGGCCAGAGCGAUUGGAGCGGUAAACACCAUAUCCUUGUCUGGAGAGGCGGGAGGGC